GCUGCUGCAGUUCUUUGAUGAUGACCAAGAAAAAAAAAUGGAUGAUAACCGGGGGAGAGUCAGCAUAGCUUUUCUUUUUCUUAGUAGAUUAUUAUUAAAAAAAAAAAAAAAAAG
rnacentral:ribozyme from 14 species